AGAGUUUGAUCCUGGCUCAGAUUGAACGCUGGCGGAAUGCUUUACACAUGCAAGUCGAGCGGCAGCGCGGGGCAACCUGGCGGCGAGCGGCGAACGGGUGAGUAACAUAUCGGAACGUACCCUAUCGUGGGGGAUAACGAAUCGAAAGAUUCGCUAAUACCGCAUACGACCUGAGGGUGAAAGCGGGGGAUCGCAAGACCUCGCGCGACAGGAGCGGCCGAUAUCGGAUUAGCUAGUUGGUGAGGUAAAGGCUCACCAGGGCGACGAUCCGUAGCUGGUCUGAGAGGACGACCAGCCACACUGGGACUGAGACACGGCCCAGACUCCUACGGGAGGCAGCAGUGGGGAAUUUUGGACAAUGGGGGAAACCCUGAUCCAGCCAUUCCGCGUGAGUGAAGAAGGCCUUCGGGUUGUAAAGCUCUUUCGGCAGGAACGAAAAGGUGCGGGCUAAUACCCUGUAUCAAUGACGGUACCUGAAGAAGAAGCACCGGCUAACUACGUGCCAGCAGCCGCGGUAAUACGUAGGGUGCGAGCGUUAAUCGGAAUUACUGGGCGUAAAGCGUGCGCAGGCGGUUUUGUAAGACAGAUGUGAAAUCCCCGGGCUUAACCUGGGAACUGCGUUUGUGACUGCAAGACUUGAGUGCGGCAGAGGGGGGUGGAAUUCCACGUGUAGCAGUGAAAUGCGUAGAGAUGUGGAGGAACACCGAUGGCGAAGGCAGCCCCCUGGGUCGACACUGACGCUCAUGCACGAAAGCGUGGGUAGCAAACAGGAUUAGAUACCCUGGUAGUCCACGCCCUAAACGAUCCAACUAGGUGUUGAGGAAGGAGACUUCCUUAGUACCGUAGCUAACGCGUGAAGUUGGCCGCCUGGGGAGUACGGUCGCAAGAUUAAAACUCAAAGGAAUUGACGGGGACCCGCACAAGCGGUGGAUGAUGUGGAUUAAUUCGAUGCAACGCGAAAAACCUUACCUACCCUUGACAUGCCAGGAAUCCCGGAGAGAUUUGGGAGUGCUCGAAAGAGAGCCUGGACACAGGUGCUGCAUGGCUGUCGUCAGCUCGUGUCGUGAGAUGUUGGGUUAAGUCCCGCAACGAGCGCAACCCUUGUCAUUAGUUGCCAUCAUUUAGUUGGGCACUCUAAUGAGACUGCCGGUGACAAACCGGAGGAAGGUGGGGAUGACGUCAAGUCCUCAUGGCCCUUAUGGGUAGGGCUUCACACGUCAUACAAUGGUCGGUACAGAGGGUUGCCAAGCCGCGAGGUGGAGCCAAUCCCAGAAAGCCGAUCGUAGUCCGGAUCGGAGUCUGCAACUCGACUCCGUGAAGUCGGAAUCGCUAGUAAUCGUGGAUCAGCAUGUCACGGUGAAUACGUUCCCGGGUCUUGUACACACCGCCCGUCACACCAUGGGAGUGGGUUUCACCAGAAGUAGGUAGCCUAACCGCAAGGAGGGCGCUUACCACGGUGGGAUUCAUGACUGGGUGAAGUUGUAACAAGGUA
rnacentral:rRNA from 1 species